rnacentral:rRNA from 1 species
ACAAUGCGGGACUAUCAGUCUUGCAAUUGGAUUGAGAACAAUGUACAACUCUUAUCGAUAAGCCAUUGGAGGGCAAGUCUGGUGCCAGCAGCCGCGGUAAUUCCAGCUCCAAUAGCGUAUAUUAACGUUGUUGCAGUUAAAAAGCUCGUAGUUGAAGUGUGGGUGGUGCUGUCUGAAUGACUUCGGUUAGUCAGAUGAUCACUACCCCCUUCCAGUAUCCAGUAGUGGGUAUUCAGUUACUUACUAUUGUGUGUUGGUCCUUUACUGUGAGAAAAUUAGAGUGUUCAAAGCAGGCGUUUGCUUGAAUAGAUUAGCAUGGAAUAAUAAUUGAAGGCUUUCGUGUUCGAUUUGAUUGGUUUGUUCAUGGAAGCAAGGUUAAAAGGAACAGUUGGGGGUAUUCAUAUUCACUAGUUAGAGGUGAAAUUCUCGGAUUUAUGGAA